rnacentral:tRNA from 1 species
GUGGAUGUAGCUCAGUGGUAGAGCACUUGCUUAGCAGACACAGGAACCUGGGUUCCAUCCUCAGCAACCCCC